GAGUCACUAGCUCAGUCGGCAGAGCAUUUGCCUUUUAAGCAAGGGGUCCCGGGUUCGAAUCCCGGGUGACUCACCA
rnacentral:tRNA from 1 species